GAACCUGCAGAUGGAUCAUCG
rnacentral:rRNA from 2 species